ensembl:lncRNA
CCUCUGUUCUAUCCUGCCGGUGCAUCGUAUAACCAGCCUCUGUUCUAUCCUGCCGGUGCAUCGUAUAACCAGCCACGCCUCUGUUCUAUCCUGCCGGUGCAUCGUAUAACCAGCCUCUGUUCUAUCCUGCCGGUGCAUCGUAUAACCAGCCUCUCCUCUGUUCUAUCCUGCCGGUGCAUCGUAUAACCAGCCUCUGUUCUGUCCUGCCGGUGCAUCGUAUAACCAGCCUCUGUUCUGUCCUGCCGGUGCAUCGUAUAACCAGCCUCUCCUCUGUUCUGUCCUGCCGGUGCAUCGUAUAACCAGCCACGCCUCUGUUCUGUCCUGCCGGUGCAUCGUAUAACCAGCCUCUGUUCUGUCCUGCCGGUGCAUCGUAUAACCAGCCUCUCCUCUGUUCUGUCCUGCCGGUGCAUCGUAUAACCAGCCUCUGUUCUGUCCUGCCGGUGCAUCGUAUAACCAGCCACGCCUCUGUUCUGU